rnacentral:tRNA from 1 species
AGUGUAAUAGCUCAGUGGUAGAGUGCGUGCUUAGCAUGCAUGAGGUACAGGGUUCAAACCCCAGUACUU